CCUACGGGGUGCAGCAGGCGCGAAACCUCCACAAUGUACGAGAGUGCGAUGGGGGGAUCCCAAGUGCUAUUCUUAACGGGAUAGCUUUUCUUAAGUGUAAAAAGCUUUUGGAAUAAGAGCUGGGCAAGACCGGUGCCAGCCGCCGCGGUAACACCGGCAGCUCUAGUGGUAGCUGUUUUUAUUGGGCCUAAAGCGUUCGUAGCCGGUUUGAUAAGUCUCUGGUGAAAUCCUGUAGCUUAACUGUGGGAAUUGCUGGUGAUACUGUUGAACUUGAGGUCGGGAGAGGUUAGCGGUACUCCCAGGGUAGAGGUGAAAUUCUGUAAUCCUGGGAGGACCACCUGUGGCGAAGGCGGCUAACUGGAACGAACCUGACGGUGAGGGACGAAAGCUAGGGGCGCGAACCGGAUUAGAUACCCAGGUAGUCC
rnacentral:rRNA from 1 species